UGUGGGAGCGGGCUUGCUCGCGAUGGCAGUGUGUCAGUCGAGAUCUUAAUUGACUGAUCUACCGCUAUCGCGAGCAAGCCCGCUCCCACU
rnacentral:misc_RNA from 1 species